CGAAGCAUGAGCUGUGAUGGGGAAGGAAAUUAAGUACGGAAGUUCCUGAUUUCACGCUGUCAAGAAAAGCCUCGAGGAAGAGUAGUACUGCCCGUACCGCAAACCGACACAGGUAGAUGAGGAGAGAAUCCUAAGGUGAGCGAGAGAACGAAAUUAAGUACGGAAGUUCCUGAUUUCACGCUGUCAAGAAAAGCCUCUAGG
rnacentral:rRNA from 1 species